UGCUGUGUUAGCUUGGUGUGUGUGUGUGUGUGUGUAUAUGUGUGUAUGUGUGUGUAUGUGUGCUGUGUUAGCUCGGUGUGUGUGUGUGUGUGUGUGUGUAUGUGUGUGUAUGUGUGCUGUGUUAGCUCGGUGUGUGUGUGUGUAUGUGUGUGUAUGUGCUGUGUUAGCUCGGUGUGUGUGUGUGUGUAUGUGUGCUGUGUUAGCUCGGUGUGUGUGUGUGUGUGUGUGUGUGUGUGUGUGUGUGUGUGUGUGUGUGUGUGUGUGUGUGUGUGUGUGUGUGUGUGUGUGUGUGUGUGUGUGUGUGCUGUGUUAGCUCGGUGUGUCUGUAUGUGUGUGUAUGUGUGUGUAUGUGCUGUGUUAGCUCGGUGUGUGUAUGUGUGUGUAUGUGCUGUGUUAGCUCGCUCGGUGUGUGUGUAUGUGUGUGUAUGUGCUGUGUUAGCUCGGUGUGUGUGUGUGUGUAUGUGUGUGUAUGUGCUGUGUUAGCUCGGUGUGUGUGUGUGUAUGUGUGCUGUGUUAGCUCGGUGUGUGUGUGUGUGUGUAUGUGUUCUGUGUUAGCUCGGUGUGUGUGUGUGUAUGUGUGCUGUGUUAGCUCGGUGUGUGUGUGUGUAUGUGUUCUGUGUUAGCUCGGUGUGUGUGUGUGUGUAUGUGUGCUGUGUUAGCUCGGUCUCGGUGUGUGUAUGUGUGUGUAUGUGUGUGUAUGUGUUCUGUGUUAGCUCGGUGUGUGUGUGUGUAUGUAUGUGUAUGUGUGCUGUGUUAGCUCGGUGUGUGUGUGUGUAUGUGUGUGUAUGUGUGUGUAUGUGUUCUGUGUUAGCUCGGUGUGUGUGUGUGUAUGUGUGCUGUGUUAGCUCGGUGUGUGUGUGUGUAUGUGUGCUGUGUUAGCUCGGUGUGUGUAUGUGUGCUGUGUUAGCUCGGUGUGUGUAUGUGUUCUGUGUUAGCUCGGUGUGUGUAUGUGUUCUGUGUUAGCUCGGUGUGUGUGUGUGUAUGUGUGCUGUGUUAGCUCGCUGUGUGUGUGUGUAUGUGUGUGUAUGUGUGUGUAUGUGUGCUGUGUUAGCUCGGUGUGUGUGUGUGUAUGUAUGUAUGUGUAUGUGUGCUGUGUUAGCUCGGUGUGUGUAUGUGUGCUGUGUUAGCUCGGUGUGUGUGUGUGUAUGUGUUCUGUGUUAGCUCGGUGUGUGUAUGUGUGCUGUGUUAGCUCGGUGUGUGUAUGUGUGCUGUGUUAGCUCGGUGUGUGUAUGUGUGCUGUGUUAGCUCGGUGUGUGUAUGUGUGCUGUGUUAGCUCGGUGUGUGUAUGUGUGCUGUGUGUGUGUAUGUGUUCUGUGUUAGCUCGGUGUGUGUGUGUGUAUGUGUGCUGUGUUAGCUCGGUGUGUGUGUGUGUAUGUGUGUGUAUGUGUGUGUAUGUGUGCUGUGUUAGCUCGGUGUGUGUAUGUGUGCUGUGUUAGCUCGGUGUGUGUAUGUGUGCUGUGUUAGCUCGGUGUGUGUGUGUGUAUGUGUGCUGUGUUAGCUCGGUGUGUGUGUGUGUAUGUGUGCUGUGUUAGCUCGGUGUGUGUAUGUGUGCUGUGUUAGCUCGGUGUGUGUGUGUGUAUGUGUGCUGUGUUAGCUCGGUGUGUGUGUGUGUAUGUAUGUGUAUGUGUGCUGUGUUAGCUCGGUGUGUGUAUGUGUGCUGUGUUAGCUCGGUGUGUGUAUGUGUGCUGUGUGUGUGUAUGUGUGCUGUGUUAGCUCGGUGUGUGUGUGUGUAUGUGUGCUGUGUUAGCUCGGUGUGUGUGUGUGUAUGUGUGCUGUGUUAGCUCGGUGUAUGUGUGUGUGUGUAUGUGUGCUGUGUUAGCUCGGUGUAUGUGUGUGUGUGUAUGUGUGCUGUGUUAGCUCGGUGUGUGUGUGUGUAUGUGUGCUGUGUUAGCUCGGUGUGCUGAGCGGCUCAAAUGGCCCUUAGUAAAGCUGCUGGCUGCCGCAUCCUCAGCUGGAGUGUUUUUGCUUGCUUCCUGUGUGUGUGCAUUUGUGUGUGUGCGCGCGUGCGUGUGUGUGUUAGCUCGUGUGUGUGUGCAUUUGUGUGUGUGCGCGCGUGCGUGUGUGUGUGUGUGUGUUUGUGUGUGAGAAAGAGAACAAGAGAGAUAGAGGGAGGAAGGGAUGUGUGCAAAAAUAUAUUGAAUUCAGCCCUCUCAAUCCACCUUCCAAAUGUGUUGAUUAGUUCAUUAGAAUCCACAUUAGCUUUUGCACAAGCAGCAGCUACUCUUUCUGGCGUAACACAGCAUGAAAAAACCACUGAUACAGUGAUACACUGAUACACUGAUAGACUGAUACACUGAUACACGAUACACUGAUACACUGAUACACUGAUAGACUGAUACACUGAUAGACUGACACACGAUGGACUGAUAGACUGAUAGUCUGAUACACUGAUAGACUAAUAGACUGAUACACUGAUACACUGAUAGACUGAUAGACAGCCACCUCGGUGACUGGGAAUCUGGUCUCUCAAACCCUGCCUCAUUAUCUGUGUUUGGGCAGUGAUAGUCUGGCUUGGUGUGUAUGUGUGUGUGACACUAUCUGGCUGUCUGUGCGUGAGUUAUUAUUGCCUGAAACUCAACCUUUAACCUUACCCUCAGUCAGUCUUGGGUGUACAUUCAUACUGCUUUCCUCCCCUUUUCAUUAUCCUUAGACAUAUUGGCUGUAAGUUUGAUGUUUGGUGUGAUGUGUAUUUUAUUAUAAUAAAGUUCAAUGAGAUCCAAA